ACGUUAGCGGCGGACGGGUGAGUAACACGUGGGUAACCUACCUAUAAGACUGGGAUAACUCCGGGAAACCGGGGCUAAUACCGGAUAACACAUGAAACCGCAUGGUUUCAUGAUGAAAGACGGUUUUGCUGUCACUUAUAGAUGGACCCGCGGCGUAUUAGCUAGUUGGUAAGGUAACGGCUUACCAAGGCAACGAUACGUAGCCGACCUGAGAGGGUGAUCGGCCACACUGAAACUGAGACACGGUCCAG
rnacentral:rRNA from 1 species